rnacentral:misc_RNA from 1 species
GUGGGAGCUGGCUUGCCUGCGAUGGUGGUGGGUCAGUCAGCACAUCGGCUACUGAUACACCGCUAUCGCAGGCAAGCCAGCUCCCAC